CAGCAGACGGCAGAAACGGC
rnacentral:miRNA from 1 species